CAGCCGCCACGGUAAUACGAGGGGGGCAAGCGUUGUUCGGAAUUAUUGGGCGUAAAGCGUGCGUAGGUGGUGGUUUAAGUCCGUUGUGAAAGCCCUGGGCUCAACCUGGGAAUUGCAGUGGAUACUGGGUCACUAGAGUGUGGUAGAGGAUAGUGGAAUUUCCGGUGUAGCAGUGAAAUGCGUAGAGAUCGGAAGGAACAUCUGUGGCGAAGGCGACUAUCUGGGCCAACACUGACACUGAGGCACGAAAGCGUGGGGAGCAAACAGGAUUAGAUACCCCGGUAGUCCCUGUCUCUUAUAC
rnacentral:rRNA from 1 species